rnacentral:rRNA from 1 species
GAUGAACGCUGGCGGCGUGCCUAAUACAUGCAAGUCGAGCGAACGGACGAGAAGCUUGCUUCUCUGAUGUUAGCGGCGGACGGGUGAGUAACACGUGGAUAACCUACCUAUAAGACUGGUAUAACUUCGGGAAACCGGCGCUAAUACCGGAUAAUAUUUUGAACCGCAUGGUUCAAAAGUGAAAGACGGUCUUGCUGUCACUUAUAGAUGUAUCCGCGCUGCAUUAGCUAGUUGGUAAGGUAACGGCUUACCAAGGCAACGAUGCAUAGCCGACCUGAGAGGGUGAUCGGCCACACGGGAACUGAGACACGGUCCAGACUCCUGCGGGAGGCAGCAGUAGGGAAUCUUCCGCAAGGGGCGAAAGCCUGACGGAGCAACGCCGCGUGAGUGAUGAAGGUCUUCGGAGCGUAAAACUCUGUUAUUAGGGAAGAACAUAUGUGUAAGUAACUGGGCACAUCGUGACGGUACCUAAUCAGAAAGCCACGGCUAACUACGUG